UACGAAGGGGGCUAGCGUUGUUCGGAAUUACUGGGCGUAAAGGGCGCGUAGGCGGUCCCUCAAGUCAGGCGUGAAAGCCCCGGGCUCAACCUGGGAACCGCGCUUGAGACUGGUGGACUCGAGUUCGGGAGAGGAUGGUGGAAUUCCCAGUGUAGAGGUGAAAUUCGUAGAUAUUGGGAAGAACACCGAUGGCGAAGGCAGCCAUCUGGACCGACACUGACGCUGAGGCGCGAAAGCGUGGGGAGCAAACAGG
rnacentral:rRNA from 1 species